rnacentral:rRNA from 1 species
GGCCGGCGAAGCUUUGAACUUAAGCGCCAGUAAACGGCGGUGGUAACUAUAACCAUCCUAAGGUAGCGAAAUUCCUUGUCGGGUAAGUUCCGACCUGCACGAAUGGCGUAACGACUUGGGCGCUGUCUCAACCAUGGACUCGGCGAAAUUGCAUUACGAGUAAAGAUGCUCGUUACGCGCAGCAGGACGGAAAGACCCCGGGACCUUUACUACAACUUGGUAUUGGUGGUCGGUACAACUUGUGUAGGAUAGGUGGGAGACUGUGAAACUCGGACGCCAGUUCGGGUGGAGUCAUCGUUGAAAUACCACUCUGGUUGUUCUGGCUGUCUAACUUCGGUCCAUUAUCUGGAUCAGGGACAGUGCCUGGUGGGUAGUUUGACUGGGGCGGUCGCCUCCUAAAAGGUAACGGAGGCGCUCAAAGGUUCCCUCAGCCUGGUUGGCAAUCAGGUGUCGAGUGUAAGUGCACAAGGGAGCUUGACUGUGAGACAGACAUGUCGAGCAGGGACGAAAGUCGGAACUAGUGAUCCGGCGGUGGCAUGUGGGAGCACCGUCGCUCAACGGAUAAAAGGUACCCCGGGGAUAACAGGCUGAUCUUCCCCAAGAGUCCAUAUCGACGGGAUGGUUUGGCACCUCGAUGUCGGCUCGUCGCAUCCUGGGGCUGGAGUAGGUCCCAAGGGUUGGGCUGUUCGCCCAUUAAAGCGGCACGCGAGCUGGGUUUAGAACGUCGUGAGACAGUUCGGUCCCUAUCCGCUGCGCGCGCAGGAGACUUGAGAAGGGCUGCCCCUAGUACGAGAGGACCGGGGUGGACGAACCUCUGGUGUGCCAGUUGUUCCGCCAGGAGCACGGCUGGUUGGCUACGUUCGGGAGUGAUAACCGCUGAAAGCAUCUAAGCGGGAAGCACGCUUCAAGAUGAGGUCUCCCACCGAGUUAAUCGGGUAAGGCCCCCAGUAGACCACUGGGUUGAUAGGCCAGAAGUGGAAGCACCGCAAGGUGUGGAGCUGACUGGUACUAAUAGGCCGAGGGCUUGUCUCA